rnacentral:rRNA from 1 species
AAACUGGGAUUAGAUACCCCACUAUGCCUAGCCGUAACACAACGAUCAAACCACCCAUCGUUCGCCAAAUAACUACGAGUAAAGACUUAAAAUUUAAAAGACUUGACGGUAUCUCACAACAGCCUAGAGGAGCCUGUCAAAUAACCGAUACCCCACGUUUAAUCCUACCCACCCUAGCCCAACAGUCUAUAUACCGCCGUCGCCAGCCCACCUUAUGAAAGAAACAAAGUGGGCCAAAUAACCACACGCUAACACGACAGGUCGAGGUGUAACUUAUGGGUGGGGUAAUGAUGGGCUACAUUUUCUAUUAUAGAAAACACGAACAAACUAUGAAACAAGAAACCGAAGGCGGAUUUAGCAGUAUGCUAAGAACAAAAUACCUAGUUGAAACCAACGCAAUGAGAUGCGUACACACCGCCCGUCAUCCCUGUCAACUUAACUAAAAAAUCCAUAAUUUACACUAAUCUUCAAAGCAGGGCAAGUCGUAACA